rnacentral:rRNA from 1 species
CAUGCAAGUCGAACGGACAGACAGGGAGCUUGCUCCCUUGAAGUUAGUGGCGAACGGGUGAGUAACGCGUAAUCAACCUGCCCUUCAGAGGGGGAUAACAACGGGAAACCGUUGCUAAUACCGCGUACGAUUCAUAGACGGCAUCGUUUGUGAAUGAAAGGUGGCCUCUAUUUAUAAGCUAUCGCUGAAGGAGGGGAUUGCGUCUGAUUAGCUAGUUGGAGGGGUAACGGCCCACCAAGGCAAUGAUCAGUAGCCGGUCUGAGAGGAUGAACGGCCACAUUGGGACUGAGACACGGCCCAAACUCCUACGGGAGGCAGCAGUGGGGAAUCUUCCGCAAUGGACGAAAGUCUGACGGAGCAACGCCGCGUGAGUGAUGAAGGUCUUCGGAUUGUAAAGCUCUGUUAAUCGGGACGAAAGAGUUCUGUGUAAAUAAUGCAGAAAAGUGACGGUACCGGAAUAGAAAGCCACGGCUAACUACGUGCCAGCAGCCGCGGUAAUACGUAGGUGGCAAGCGUUGUCCGGAAUUAUUGGGCGUAAAGCGCGCGCAGGCGGCCUAUCCAGUCUGUCUUAAAAGUUCGGGGCUCAACCCCGUGAUGGGAUGGAAACUAGUAGGCUAGAGUAUCGGAGAGGAAAGCGGAAUUCCUAGUGUAGCGGUGAAAUGCGUAGAUAUUAGGAAGAACACCAGUGGCGAAGGCGGCUUUCUGGACGAAAACUGACGCUGAGGCGCGAAAGCCAGGGGAGCGAACGGGAUUAGAUACCCCGGUAGUCCUGGCCGUAAACGAUGGGUACUAGGUGUAGGAGGUAUCGACCCCUUCUGUGCCGGAGUUAACGCAAU